AGCAGCCGCGGUAAUUCCAGCUCCAAUAGCGUAUAUUAAAGUUGUUGCAGUUAAAAAGCUCGUAGUUGAAUUUCGGGAUCAAUAUAUUGGUCGUGCCUCUGGUAUGUACUGGUAUCGUUGAUUUCUACCUUCUGACGAACCAUGAUGUCAUUAAUUUGGUGUCAUGGGAAAUCAGGACUGUUACUUUGAAAAAAUUAGAGUGUUUAAAGCAGGCAUACGCUUGAAUACAUUAGCAUGGAAUAAUGAAAUAGGACGUUUGAUCCUAUUUUGUUGGUUUCUAGGGUCGACGUAAUGAUUAAUAGGGAUAGUUGGGGGCAUUAGUAUUCAAUUGUCAGAGGUGAAAUUCUUGGAUUUAUUGAAGACUAACUACUGCGAAAGCAUUUGCCAAGGAUGUUUUCAUUAAUCAAGAACGAAAGUUAGGGGAUCGAAGACGAUCAGAUACCGUCGUAGUCUUAACCAUAAACUAUGCCGACUAGGGAUCGGAUGAUGUUAAUUUUUUAAUGUACUCU
rnacentral:rRNA from 1 species